GUGAGGUAAUGGCUUACCAAGGCGACGACGGGUAGCCGGCCUGAGAGGGUGACCGGCCACACUGGGACUGAGACACGGCUCAGACUCCUACGGGAGGCAGCAGCGGGGAAUAUUGCACAAUGGGCGAAAGCCUGAUGCAGCGACGCCGCGUGAGGGAUGACGGCCUUCGGGUUGUAAACCUCUUUCAGUAGGGAAGAAGCGAAAGUGACGGUACCUGCAGAAGAAGCGCCGGCUAACUACGUGCCAGCAGCCGCGGUAAUACGUAGGGCGCAAGCGUUAUCCGGAAUUAUUGGGCGUAAAGAGCUCGUAGGCGGUUUGUCGCGUCUGCCGUGAAAGUCCGGGGCUCAACUCCGGAUCUGCGGUGGGUACGGGCAGACUAGAGUGAUGUAGGGGAGACUGGAAUUCCUGGUGUAGCGGUGAAAUGCGCAGAUAUCAGGAGGAACACCGAUGGCGAAGGUAGGUCUCUGGGCAUUAACUGACGCUGAGGAGCGAAAGCAUGGGGAGCGAACAGGAUUAGAUACCCUGGUAGUCCAUGCCGUAAACGUUGGGCACUAGGUGUGGGGGACAUUCCACGUUUUCCGCGCCGUAGCUAACGCAUUAAGUG
rnacentral:rRNA from 1 species